GGGACUGAUGUUGAGAUCUGGUGGCUUCUGGGUGUUUUUUGAUGACAGCCAUGUAAACAGAAAUCUUAGGUCAGG